AAAUUCGGUGAUCCUAUGCUGCCUAGAAAAGCAUCGACGCGAGGUUCAAACCGCCCGUACCCCAAACCGACACAGGUGAUCAGGUAGAGAAUACUAAGGCGAUCGAGAGAAUUAUGGUUAAGGAACUCGGCAAAAUGCCCCCGUAACUUCGGGAGAAGGGGGGCCUGCCUCGUGAAGGAACCUCGCGUUCCGUGAGCGGGUGUGGGCCGCAGAGACCAGGGGGAAGCGACUGUUUACUAAAAACACAGGUCCGUGCGAAGUCGCAAGACGAUGUAUACGGACUGACUCCUGCCCGGUGCUGGAAGGUAAGAGGACCGGUUAGCUCACUUUGGUGAGCGAAGCUGAGAAUUUAAGCCCCAGUAAACGGCGGUGGUAACUAUAACCAUCCUAAGGUAGCGAAAUUCCUUGUCGGGUAAGUUCCGACCUGCACGAAUGGAGUAACGACUUCCCCGCUGUCUCAACCAUAAACUCGGCGAAAUUGCAGUACGAGUAAAGAUGCUCGUUACGCGCAGCAGGACGGAAAGACCCCGAGACCUUUACUAUAGUUUGGUAUUGGUGUUCGGAGUGGCUUGUGUAGGAUAGGUGGGAGACUGUGAAACCUUCACGCUAGUGGGGGUGGAGUCAUCGUUGAAAUACCACUCUGGUCACUUUGGACAUCUAACUUCGGCCCGUAAUCCGGGUCAGGGACAGUGCCUGAUGGGUAGUUUAACUGGGGCGGUUGCCUCCUAAAGAGUAACGGAGGCGCCCAAAGGUUCCCUCAGCCUGGUUGGCAAUCAGGUUUCGAGUGUAAGUGCACAAGGGAGCUUGACUGUGAGAGGGACACCUCGAGCAGGGACGAAAGUCGGGACUAGUGAUCCGGCGGCACAUUGUGGAAUGGCCGUCGCUCAACGGAUAAAAGGUACCUCGGGGAUAACAGGCUGAUCUUGCCCAAGAGUCCAUAUCGACGGCAUGGUUUGGCACCUCGAUGUCGGCUCGUCGCACCCUGGGGCUGGAGUAGGUCCCAAGGGUUGGGCUGUUCGCCCAUUAAAGCGGUACGCGAGCUGGGUUUAGAACGUCGUGAGACAGUUCGGUCCCUAUCCGCUGCGCGCGCAGGAAAUUUGAGAAGGGCUGUCCUUACUACGAGAGGACCGGGACGGACGAACCUCUGGUGUGUCAGUUGUACUGCCAAGUGCAUCGCUGAUUGGCUACGUUCGGAUGGGAUAACCGCUGAAAGCAUCUAAGCGGGAAGCCCGCUUCAAGAUGAGAUUUCCCUACACGUAAGUGUGAGAGGCUCCCAGCAGACCACUGGGUUGAUAGGCCGGAUGUGGAAGCGAGGACUAAAGACUCGUGAAGCUGACCGGUACUAAUAAGCCGAUAACGAC
rnacentral:rRNA from 1 species